ACAAUGCUGCUCAGAGGUGAAGUGCUUUUAGAGCCAUCUUGUUGACAGGAAAGGAGAUAAUCCCUUUUGUCGUGAUCGUACUCAAGCAAUCCCCGUGUCGCAAUUUUCUUGUUUUCCUCGUAUCGUGACCCGGUUUCAAGAUGAACUUUGCCACUUGUCUGUGAAUCCCCUUGUCCCCUACUGCACCACAACUUUAUAAACAUCUGCAAUACGCGUUCCGUCUCAGUUGUCACUAGAAUGGCGAGCAAGAAAUUUGUCCUGUUGGCCUCAGUCCUGCUGGCUGUCCUGUUUCUAUCAGUGGCCGAUGUUUCUGGCGCCUAUGAAUAUGAUUGCUCCAACUACUGGUGCCCGCCAGGCGAGGAAUGCUACAUGCACUACUUGUACUGUUUCCGUGGCGAGUGCAAAUACACGCCGCGGUGUAAGAAGAAGGCCACGUGAGCAUCACCUCACGACGUGACUCGUUGCGACACUUCCUAUGCUACGGACGACAUAUGUCGGAUUGAAACGAGUCAUUUCUUGUUUACAGGCCUGUAUAUUCGCCGUAUUGCGUCACUAAAAAUAAAAAUGUGAUGCCACAGGCUAUAAUUCAUACAAAUUAUUUGUUUCAUGAUAAUAUAAAUAAAUAUAUAUAUA